rnacentral:rRNA from 1 species
UACAGAGGUGGCAAGCGUUGUUCGGAAUUACUGGGCGUAAAGGGCGCGUAGGCGGCCUACUAAGUCAGACGUGAAAUCCCCCGGCUUAACCUGGGAACUGCGUCUGAUACUGGAAGGCUUGAGGAUGGGAGAGGGAUGUAGAAUUCCAGGUGUAGCGGUGAAAUGCGUAGAUAUCUGGAGGAAUACCGGUGGCGAAGGCGGCAUCCUGGACCAUUUCUGACGCUGAGGCGCGAAAGCUAGGGGAGCAAACAGG